rnacentral:rRNA from 1 species
UACGAAGGGGGCUAGCGUUGCUCGGAAUUACUGGGCGUAAAGCGCACGUAGGCGGCUUUCUAAGUCAGGGGUGAAAUCCUGGAGCUCAACUCCAGAACUGCCUUUGAUACUGGAGAGCUUGAGUCCGGAAGAGGUGAGUGGAACUCCGAGUGUGGAGGUGAAAUUCGUAGAUAUUCGGAAGAACACCAGUGGCGAAGGCGGCUCACUGGUCCGGUACUGACGCUGAUGUGCGAAAGCGUGGGGAGCAAACAGG